UACGGGGGGGGCAAGCGUUGUUCGGAAUUACUGGGCGUAAAGGGCUCGUAGGCGGCCAACUAAGUCAGACGUGAAAUCCCUCGGCUUAACCGGGGAACUGCGUCUGAUACUGGAUGGCUUGAGAUUGGGAGAGGGAUGCGGAAUUCCAGGUGUAGCGGUGAAAUGCGUAGAUAUCAGGAGGAACACCGAUGGCGAAGGCAGUGUUCUGGGCCAGUACUGACGUGAGGAGCGAAAGCGUGGGGAGCAAACAGG
rnacentral:rRNA from 1 species